AGAGUUUGAUCCUGGCUCAGGACGGCCUCUGGCGGCGUGCUUAACACAUGCAAGUCGAACGGUGACGGAGGAGCUUGCUCCUCCUGAUCAGUGGCGAACGGGUGAGUAACACGUGAGUAACCUGCCCCAGACUCUGGAAUAACAGUUGGAAACAGCUGCUAAUACCGGAUACGAGACGGAGUCGCAUGACUACCGUCUGGAAAGUUUUUCGGUCUGGGAUGGACUCGCGGCCUAUCAGCUAGUUGGUGAGGUAAUGGCUCACCAAGGCGACGACGGGUAGCCGGCCUGAGAGGGCGACCGGCCACACUGGGACUGAGACACGGCCCAGACUCCUACGGGAGGCAGCAGUGGGGAAUAUUGCACAAUGGGCGAAAGCCUGAUGCAGCAACGCCGCGUGAGGGAUGACGGCCUUCGGGUUGUAAACCUCUUUCAGUAGGGAAGAAGCGAAAGUGACGGUACCUACAGAAGAAGCACCGGCUAACUACGUGCCAGCAGCCGCGGUAAUACGUAGGGUGCGAGCGUUGUCCGGAAUUAUUGGGCGUAAAGAGCUUGUAGGCGGUUUGUCGCGUCUGCUGUGAAAAUCCGGGGCUCAACCCCGGACCUGCAGUGGGUACGGGCAGACUAGAGUGUGGUAGGGGAGACUGGAAUUCCUGGUGUAGCGGUGAAAUGCGCAGAUAUCAGGAGGAACACCGAUGGCGAAGGCAGGUCUCUGGGCCCACUACUGACGCUGAGAAGCGAAAGCGUGGGGAGCGAACAGGAUUAGAUACCCUGGUAGUCCACGCCGUAAACGUUGGGAACUAGGUGUGGGUCUCAUUCCACGAGAUCCGUGCCGCAGCUAACGCAUUAAGUUCCCCGCCUGGGGAGUACGGCCGCAAGGCUAAAACUCAAAGGAAUUGACGGGGGCCCGCACAAGCGGCGGAGCAUGUGGAUUAAUUCGAUGCAACGCGAAGAACCUUACCAAGGCUUGACAUAUACCGGAAACACCCAGAGAUGGGUGCCCCGCAAGGUCGGUAUACAGGUGGUGCAUGGUUGUCGUCAGCUCGUGUCGUGAGAUGUUGGGUUAAGUCCCGCAACGAGCGCAACCCUCGUUCUAUGUUGCCAGCGCGUAAUGGCGGGGACUCAUAGGAGACUGCCGGGGUCAACUCGGAGGAAGGUGGGGAUGACGUCAAAUCAUCAUGCCCCUUAUGUCUUGGGCUUCACACAUGCUACAAUGGCCGGUACAAAGGGCUGCGAAAUCGCGAGAUGGAGCGAAUCCCAAAAAACCGGUCUCAGUUCGGAUUGGGGUCUGCAACUCGACCCCAUGAAGUCGGAGUCGCUAGUAAUCGCAGAUCAGCAACGCUG
rnacentral:rRNA from 1 species